UGGGGAAUUUUGGACAAUGGGGGAAACCCUGAUCCAGCCAUGCCGCGUGAGUGAAGAAGGCCUUCGGGUUGUAAAGCUCUUUCAGACGGAAAGAAACGGUCACGAAUAAUACUCGUGACUAAUGACGGUACCGUCAGAAGAAGCACCGGCUAACUACGUGCCAGCAGCCGCGGUAAUACGUAGGGUGCGAGCGUUAAUCGGAAUUACUGGGCGUAAAGCGUGCGCAGGCGGUUUUGUAAGACAGAUGUGAAAUCCCCGGGCUUAACCUGGGAACUGCAUUUGUGACUGCAAGGCUAGAGUACGGCAGAGGGGGGUAGAAUUCCACGUGUAGCAGUGAAAUGCGUAGAUAUGUGGAGGAAUACCGAUGGCGAAGGCAGCCCCCUGGGUCGAUACUGACGCUCAUGCACGAAAGCGUGGGGAGCAAACAGGAUUAGAUACCCUGGUAGUCCACGCCCUAAACGAUGUCAACUAGGUGUUGGGGAAGGAGACUUCUUUAGUACCGCAGCUAACGCGAUAAGUUGACCGCCUGGGGAGUACGGUCGCAAGAUUA
rnacentral:rRNA from 1 species